rnacentral:lncRNA from 8 species
AUGGUUAGGUCAUUAGGGUAUAAAACAGAACUGAUGGUUAGGUCAUUAGGGUAUAAAACAGAACUGAUGGUUAGGUCAUUAGGGUAUAAAACAGAACUGAUGGUUAGGUCAGUAGGGUAUAAAACAGAACUGAUGGUUAGGUCAUUAGGGUAUAAAACAGAACUGAUGGUUAGGUCAGUAGGGUAUAAAACAGAACUGAUGGUUAGGUCAGUAGGGUAUAAAACAGAACUGAUGGUUAGGUCAUUAGGGUAUAAAACAGAACUGAUGGUUAGGUCAGUAGGGUAUAAAACAGAACUGAUGGUUAGGUCAGUAGGGUAUAAAACAGAACUGAUGGUUAGGUCAGUAGGGUAUAAAACAGAACUGAUGGUUAGGUCAGUAGGGUAUAAAACAGAGCUGAUGGUUAGGUCAUUAGGGUAUAAAACAGAACUGAUGGUUAGGUCAGUAGGGUAUAAAACAGAACUGAUGGUUAGGUCAUUAGGGUAUAAAACAGAACUGAUGGUUAGGUCAUUAGGGUAUAAAACAGAACUGAUGGUUAGGUCAUUAGGGUAUAAAACAGAACUGAUGGUUAGGUCAUUAGGGUAUAAAACAGAACUGAUGGUUAGGUCAUUAGGAUGUAAAACAGAACUGAUGGUUAGGUCAGUAGGGUAUAAAACAGAACUGAUGGUUAGGUCAGUAGGGUAUAAAACAGAGCUGAUGGUUAGGUCAGUAGGGUAUAAAACAGAACUGAUGGUUAGGUCAUUAGGAUGUAAAACAGAACUGAUGGUUAGGUCAUUAGGGUAUAAAACAGAACUGAUGGUUAGGUCAUUAGGGUGUAAAACAGUGAUGGUUAGGUCAUUAGGGUGUAAAACAGAACUGAUGGUUAGGUCAUUAGGGUAUAAAACAGAACUGAUGGUUAGGUCAUUAGGGUGUAAAACAGUGAUGGUUAGGUCAUUAGGGUGUAAAACAGAACUGAUGGUUAGGUCAUUAGGGUGUAAAACAGUGAUGGUUAGGUCAUUAGGAUGUAAAACAGAACAAAUCACUUCUCUGUUUAAUCUUAUCAGAGACACUUCUGCUUAUUGUUUCAAUAAUCUCAGUCUUAUCUAA